rnacentral:misc_RNA from 2 species
UAAUCUCACCAUCCAACUCUUUGUUGGCAUGUUGUGGAUUUGGAUGUUGCUGUGUCACAAUGGCUCAUCUGAAAUGCCUGAGUACAUCCUGGAUUGCGAUGUGUUCGGUGUAAUAAACUUUCACCGUCAUUGACCCCAGUGGUCACACUCACUCUACCAAGGCUCUGUGCUUCCAAUCGUCUUAAUCAGACAGUUUUGACA